UGGGGAAUAUUGCGCAAUGUGGGAAACCCUGACGCAGCGACGCCGCGUGCGGGAUGAAGGCCUUCGGGUUGUAAACCGCUUUUGAUUGGGAGCAAGCUUUCGGGUGAGUGUACCUUUCGAAUAAGCGCCGGCUAACUACGUGCCAGCAGCCUCGGUAAUACGUAGGGCGCAAGCGUUAUCCGGAAUUAUUGGGCGUAAAGAGCUUGUAGGCGGUUCGUCGCGUCUGGUGUGAAAGCCCAUCGCUUAACGGUGGGUUUGCGCCGGGUACGGGCGGGCUAGAGUGCAGUAGGGGGGACUGGAAUUCCCGGUGUAACGGUGGAAUGUGUAGAUAUCGGGAAGAACACCAAUGGCGAAGGCAGGUCUCUGGGCUGUUACUGACGCUGAGAAGCGAAAGCGUGGGGAGCGAACAGG
rnacentral:rRNA from 1 species